UACGAAGGGGGCGAGCGUUGUUCGGAGUUACUGGGCGUAAAGGGCGCGUAGGCGGCGCUCCAAGUUAGGCGUGAAAGCCCCGGGCUCAACCUGGGAAUUGCGCUUAAGACUGGAGUGCUCGAGUGCGGAAGAGGUGAGUGGAAUUCCCAGUGUAGAGGUGAAAUUCGUAGAUAUUGGGAAGAACACCAGUGGCGAAGGCGGCUCACUGGACCGGCAUUGACGCUGAGGUGCGAAAGCGUGGGGAGCAAACAGG
rnacentral:rRNA from 1 species